UGAGAACUGAUAGCAAGCUGUACUUGUACAGUGAAGUGGCUGAUGCCAUGCUUCCAGGAAAAGUCUCUAAGCUUCAGUUACACAGGAAUCGUACCCGAAACCGACACAGGUGGUCAGGUCGAGUAGACCAAAGCGCUUGAGAGAACUCUGCUGAAGGAACUAGGCAAAAUGGUACCGUAACUUCGGGAGAAGGUACGCUGCCGACGGUGAUGGGAUUUACUCCCUGAGCGGUUGGCAGCCACAGAAACCAGGCCCCUGCAACUGUUUAUUAAAAACAUAGCACUCUGCAAACACGAAAGUGGACGUAUAGGGUGUGAUGCCUGCCCGGUGCUGGAAGGUUAAUUGAUGGGGUUAGCGUAAGCGAAGCUCUUGAUCGAAGCCCCAGUAAACGGCGGCCGUAACAAUAACGGUCCUAAGGUAGCGAAAUUCCUUGUCGGGUAAGUUCCGACCUGCACGAAUGGCAUAAUGAUGGGGGCGCUGUCUCCAGCAGAGACUCAGUGAAAUCGAAUUCGCCGUGAAGAUGCGGUGUACCCGCGGCUAGACGGAAAGACCCCGUGAACCUUUACUGCAGCUUGACAUUGAACUUUGAUCUUACUUGUGUAGGAUAGGUGGGAGGCUUUGAAACUCGGACGCUAGUUCGAGUGGAGCCAAUCUUGAAAUACCACCCUGGUAAUAUUGGGGUUCUAACUCUGCUCCAUUAUCUGGAGCGAGGACCAUGUCUGGUGGGUAGUUUGACUGGGGCGGUCUCCUCCUAAAGAGUAACGGAGGAGUACGAAGGUGCGCUCAGCGUGGUCGGAAAUCACGCGUAGAGUAUAAAGGCAAAAGCGCGCUUAACUGCGAGACCCACAAGUCGAGCAGGUACGAAAGUAGGUCUUAGUGAUCCGGUGGUUCUGUAUGGAAGGGCCAUCGCUCAACGGAUAAAAGGUACUCUGGGGAUAACAGGCUGAUACCGCCCAAGAGUUCAUAUCGACGGCGGUGUUUGGCACCUCGAUGUCGGCUCAUCUCAUCCUGGGGCUGAAGCAGGUCCCAAGGGUAUGGCUGUUCGCCAUUUAAAGAGGUACGCGAGCUGGGUUUAGAACGUCGUGAGACAGUUCGGUCCCUAUCUACCGUGGGCGUUGGAAAUUUGAGAGGAUCUGCUCCUAGUACGAGAGGACCAGAGUGGACGAACCUCUGGUGUACCGGUUGUGACGCCAGUCGCAUCGCCGGGUAGCUAUGUUCGGAAGGGAUAACCGCUGAAAGCAUCUAAGCGGGAAGCCUACCUCAAGAUAAGAUUUCCCAAGGACUUUAUGUCCUCUAAAGAGCCGUUGAAGACUACGACGUUGAUAGGUUGGAUGUGGAAGUGCAGUGAUGCAUGAAGCUGACCAAUACUAAUUGCUCGUGAGGCUUGACA
rnacentral:rRNA from 1 species